rnacentral:rRNA from 1 species
CCUACGGGCGGCAGCAGUGAGGAAUAUUGGUCAAUGGACGCAAGUCUGAACCAGCCAUGCCGCGUGCAGGAAGACGGCCCUAUGAGUUGUAAACUGCUUUUGUACGAGGGUAAACUCACUUACGUGUACCUCUCUGAAUGUAUCGUACGAAUAAGGAUCGGCUAACCCCGUGCCAGCAGCCGCGGUAAUACGGUGGAUUCAAGCGUUACCCGGAUUUAUUGGGUUUAAAGGGUGCGUAGGCGGUCGGAUAAGUUAGGGGUGAAAUCCCGAGGCUCAACUUCGGAAUUGCCUCUGAUACUGGUAGGCUAGAGAGUGGGUGAGGUAGGCGGAAUGUAUGGUGUAGCGGUGAAAUGCUUAGAGAUCAGACAGAACACCGGUUGCGAAGGCGGCUUACCAGGCUACAUCUGACGUUGAGGAGCGAAAGCGUGGGGAGCAAACAGGAUUAGAUACCCCGGAAGUC